rnacentral:rRNA from 1 species
GGGUUGUGAGGUUAAGCGACUAAGCGUACACGGUGGAUGCCCUGGCAGUCAGAGGCGAUGAAGGACGUGCUAAUCUGCGAUAAGCGUCGGUAAGGUGAUAUGAACCGUUAUAACCGGCGAUUUCCGAAUGGGGAAACCCAGUGUGUUUCGACACACUAUCAUUAACUGAAUCCAUAGGUUAAUGAGGCGAACCGGGGGAACUGAAACAUCUAAGUACCCCGAGGAAAAGAAAUCAACCGAGAUUCCCCCAGUAGCGGCGAGCGAACGGGGAGCAGCCCAGAGCCUGAAUCAGUGUGUGUGUUAGUGGAAGCGUCUGGAAAGGCGCGCGAUACAGGGUGACAGCCCCGUACACAAAAAUGCACAUGCUGUGAGCUCGAUGAGUAGGGCGGGACACGUGGUAUCCUGUCUGAAUAUGGGGGGACCAUCCUCCAAGGCUAAAUACUCCUGACUGACCGAUAGUGAACCAGUACCGUGAGGGAAAGGCGAAAAGAACCCCGGCGAGGGGAGUGAAAAAGAACCUGAAACCGUGUACGUACAAGCAGUGGGAGCACGCUUAGGCGUGUGACUGCGUACCUUUUGUAUAAUGGGUCAGCGACUUAUAUUCUGUAGCAAGGUUAACCGAAUAGGGGAGCCGAAGGGAAACCGAGUCUUAACUGGGCGUUAAGUUGCAGGGUAUAGACCCGAAACCCGGUGAUCUAGCCAUGGGCAGGUUGAAGGUUGGGUAACACUAACUGGAGGACCGAACCGACUAAUGUUGAAAAAUUAGCGGAUGACUUGUGGCUGGGGGUGAAAGGCCAAUCAAACCGGGAGAUAGCUGGUUCUCCCCGAAAGCUAUUUAGGUAGCGCCUCGUGAAUUCAUCUCCGGGGGUAGAGCACUGUUUCGGCAAGGGGGUCAUCCCGACUUACCAACCCGAUGCAAACUGCGAAUACCGGAGAAUGUUAUCACGGGAGACACACGGCGGGUGCUAACGUCCGUCGUGAAGAGGGAAACAACCCAGACCGCCAGCUAAGGUCCCAAAGUCAUGGUUAAGUGGGAAACGAUGUGGGAAGGCCCAGACAGCCAGGAUGUUGGCUUAGAAGCAGCCAUCAUUUAAAGAAAGCGUAAUAGCUCACUGGUCGAGUCGGCCUGCGCGGAAGAUGUAACGGGGCUAAACCAUGCACCGAAGCUGCGGCAGCGACGCUUAUGCGUUGUUGGGUAGGGGAGCGUUCUGUAAGCCUGUGAAGGUGUACUGUGAGGUAUGCUGGAGGUAUCAGAAGUGCGAAUGCUGACAUAAGUAACGAUAAAGCGGGUGAAAAGCCCGCUCGCCGGAAGACCAAGGGUUCCUGUCCAACGUUAAUCGGGGCAGGGUGAGUCGACCCCUAAGGCGAGGCCGAAAGGCGUAGUCGAUGGGAAACAGGUUAAUAUUCCUGUACUUGGUGUUACUGCGAAGGGGGGACGGAGAAGGCUAUGUUGGCCGGGCGACGGUUGUCCCGGUUUAAGCGUGUAGGCUGGUUUUCCAGGCAAAUCCGGAAAAUCAAGGCUGAGGCGUGAUGACGAGGCACUACGGUGCUGAAGCAACAAAUGCCCUGCUUCCAGGAAAAGCCUCUAAGCAUCAGGUAACAUCAAAUCGUACCCCAAACCGACACAGGUGGUCAGGUAGAGAAUACCAAGGCGCUUGAGAGAACUCGGGUGAAGGAACUAGGCAAAAUGGUGCCGUAACUUCGGGAGAAGGCACGCUGAUAUGUAGGUGAAGUCCCUCGCGGAUGGAGCUGAAAUCAGUCGAAGAUACCAGCUGGCUGCAACUGUUUAUUAAAAACACAGCACUGUGCAAACACGAAAGUGGACGUAUACGGUGUGACGCCUGCCCGGUGCCGGAAGGUUAAUUGAUGGGGUCAGCGCAAGCGAAGCUCUUGAUCGAAGCCCCGGUAAACGGCGGCCGUAACUAUAACGGUCCUAAGGUAGCGAAAUUCCUUGUCGGGUAAGUUCCGACCUGCACGAAUGGCGUAAUGAUGGCCAGGCUGUCUCCACCCGAGACUCAGUGAAAUUGAACUCGCUGUGAAGAUGCAGUGUACCCGCGGCAAGACGGAAAGACCCCGUGAACCUUUACUAUAGCUUGACACUGAACAUUGAGCCUUGAUGUGUAGGAUAGGUGGGAGGCUUUGAAGUGUGGACGCCAGUCUGCAUGGAGCCGACCUUGAAAUACCACCCUUUAAUGUUUGAUGUUCUAACGUGGACCCGUAAUCCGGGUUGCGGACAGUGUCUGGUGGGUAGUUUGACUGGGGCGGUCUCCUCCUAAAGAGUAACGGAGGAGCACGAAGGUUGGCUAAUCCUGGUCGGACAUCAGGAGGUUAGUGCAAUGGCAUAAGCCAGCUUGACUGCGAGCGUGACGGCGCGAGCAGGUGCGAAAGCAGGUCAUAGUGAUCCGGUGGUUCUGAAUGGAAGGGCCAUCGCUCAACGGAUAAAAGGUACUCCGGGGAUAACAGGCUGAUACCGCCCAAGAGUUCAUAUCGACGGCGGUGUUUGGCACCUCGAUGUCGGCUCAUCACAUCCUGGGGCUGAAGUAGGUCCCAAGGGUAUGGCUGUUCGCCAUUUAAAGUGGUACGCGAGCUGGGUUUAGAACGUCGUGAGACAGUUCGGUCCCUAUCUGCCGUGGGCGCUGGAGAACUGAGGGGGGCUGCUCCUAGUACGAGAGGACCGGAGUGGACGCAUCACUGGUGUUCGGGUUGUCAUGCCAAUGGCACUGCCCGGUAGCUAAAUGCGGAAGAGAUAAGUGCUGAAAGCAUCUAAGCACGAAACUUGCCCCGAGAUGAGUUCUCCCUGACCCUUUAAGGGUCCUGAAGGAACGUUGAAGACGACGACGUUGAUAGGCCGGGUGUGUAAGCGCAGCGAUGCGUUGAGCUAACCGGUACUAAUGAACCGUGAGGCUUAACCUUACAACGCCGAAGCUGUU